rnacentral:rRNA from 1 species
AUGAACGCUAGCUACAGGCUUCACCCAUGCAAGUCGAGGGGAAACGACAUCGAAAGCUUGCUUUUGAUGGGCGUCGACCGGCGCACGGGUGAGUAACGCGUAUCCAACCUGCCCAUCACUUGGGAAUAACCUUGCGAAAGUAAGACUAAUACCCAAUGAUAUCCCACGAAGGCAUCGGAAUGGGAUUAAAGAUUUAUCGGUGAUGGAUGGGGAUGCGUCUGAUUAGCUUGUUGGCGGGGUAACGGCCCACCAAGGCAACGAUCAGUAGGGGUUCUGAGAGGAAGGUCCCCCACAUUGGAACUGAGACACGGUCCAAACUCCUACGGGAGGCAGCAGUGAGGAAUAUUGGUCAAUGGGCGAGAGCCUGAACCAGCCAAGUAGCGUGCAGGAAGACGGCCCUAUGGGUUGUAAACUGCUUUUAUAAGGGAAUAAAGUGGGUCACGUGUGACUUUUUGCAUGUACCUUAUGAAUAAGGACCGGCUAAUUCCGUG